rnacentral:rRNA from 1 species
CACCAGCGCCACGAGUGGCAAUCGCGAUUAUUGGGCCUAAAGCGUCCGUAGCAGGUUUUGUAAAUCCUUUGUGAAAGUGACAGGCCUAACCUGUCAGAGUGCAGGGGAAACUGCAAGACUAGGGACCGGGAGGGGUAUGAGGUAUUCGUGAGGGAGCGGUAAAAUGCUAUAAUCUCACGAGGACCACCUGUGGCGAAGGCGUCAUACCAGAACGGAUCCGACUGUGAGGGACGAAAGCUAGGGGAGCAAACCGG